CACAAUGAAACGAUUUCUACACAAAAGAGCCUGAUUUCUCGAGUGGCGCUUUAAAUCUCUGCUAUCGUCUUCCUCAUUUUCUUCUCCAAUUUCCCCUAAAUCUCAAACCCUAACAUUUUCUUCACUCACACAGUCAAAAUCAUUUUCAUCUCAAAUUUUCCCAAAAUCUCAAACCCUUGAAGUUCUACUCGGCCCUCAGCAGUCACUCAUUAUUUGUUAUUCUCGUUUCUAUUUAGCACAGGAAAAGGCAGCAGCUGCCAAAAAGAAGUUCUCAACCAAAGAAGCCAAGCAGUGGAGAUUGCAUUCUACAACGCAUCAUGUAAAGAAGCUGAACAACGUAGUCCCGAUUCUAUACUUGAACCUAUGUUUGUAGAUGACCUCCAAGUUCGCCCACCUGCUAAUAGUAGUGAAGCAAUGCCUGAUGAGGCAACAGUUACUACUAUGUCUCCAUUCAACCGACAGCUUGCUGCUAUGGCAUUGGUGGAAAAUCUUCCAGCUUCUUCCCGGAUUCACGCAGUAAUUUAUCCACCAGGGAGAUUCUGGAUUUCUAUCACCACAUGGUCCAUGUACCAUACACUUUCUAACUGUGUCGAAGAGAACUGGAUCUGUUUCCUCAUUGGGAAAUUCUGCUGAACCAAAUUUAUCGACUUGCUCCAUUGUACGUAUUUUUUCUGAUUUUUGAACAUUAAUGCAUGCAUGUGCGGCAGACCUCGUUUCUGGAAUUCGAUUGUGUGUACGUGGCCUACAACUUCUCCAAAAACUUUCUUUUUAAUCAUUUCAUCCAUCUGUGCCUUUCUUUUAAUUCAAAAACACGUGCAACUAAAUCAGGAUGAUCAGAUGCAUAUUGGUGUUCUGAAAGCUCAUCUUUGAUUUCUGUCCAGUUCGGAUUUGCAGUCAGUUAGAAAAAUAUCUGGAUGAUGGUUAACACGUGUUAUUGCACUAGUGAAAAAUGGAUUUUUUACCGCUUUCCCGGUUUUACAAAAACCACUGGUGCCCGGCUGACAUAAUUAUAGGAGCUGUGAGCUGCAGUAGUUUUUUUGGAAAAAAAAAGUGAAACAAAAACUUGUCUCAAAUACAGUAGUUCUUUUAGGGGUAUUUUUGUAAAAAUAUUGAUUUUAAAGAACCACUGUGAGAGAAAAUGGUUUCACAACUUCAGAUUUAUCCUAAAACUUUAUCUCUUUCUCUCUCUCUUCACAGCUUCAGAUUUAUCCUAAAACUUUAUCUCUUUCUCUCUCUUUUCAAUCUAGCCUACAUGCGCUCUAUCUUACAUCUGCUUCAUCUUUUCCACCAAAACCCUAACCCUGAUUCAUUGUAAUUUUUUUACCACAAAACCCUAGUCGUUGUCCCACAAAUUGAACCGAUUCUUCCAGAACUAUGAUUCGAUCUCUUGCAUUGCAUUUGUUUCUUCGAUCUGUAACAUUUUAUUCUUUCAUCAAUUUCUUCGAUCUGUUCAAGUCAACCAUUCUUCUAUUUCGUUUACAACCAAAGAGGAAAUCAAACCUCCUUUCAUUUCAUCAUCAGUAGUAUAUUGAAGAAGAGUACAAAAGGAAUCAGUGAUGAAGAUGUUUUGGUUUGAAGCAGUUCUUCCACUAGGAAUUACCAAUGUUGGGUAAUUCUCAUUUUCACAUCUACAAAUUGCAAGGUCAGAAACACGAAAUAAAAACCCCUAAUUUUCUUAGAUUUUCUAAGAUGAGCAGGACUAGGUCAUAUUAUUUUUGCUUAUUAAUACCUGAUUCAUUGACAGUAUUUGCAAAAUUUGAUGGAUUUUGCGAUUUCGUGGUUGGCAUAUUCAAUUUUUUUCACUCUUGUUCUCAUAUCUUAUUCUUCUGUACAUAGUCAUCAUCAUCCCCAGAGAUUAGUCGGUGGAGCUAUUUACAGUGAUUAUAAAGAUGAAAUCCCUGUGUUAUCCUAAGUGUGUUGUUAUUUAGAUGCCACUAUUAUUCUUACUUCAGGAUUUGAUGGUCUCAGCCUUCUAAGCAUUACGUUUUCUUGAUAAUGUUUUACAAGGGGAUGGGAAGCAAAAUGCUUCUGUGGUAGCAAAUCAAGAGCAGCACCAACCAUCUCUUGUGACAAUCCAUGUGCAAUCUCAUACACCCUGUUUUGCAUCUUGUCCUGUACCAGUUCUAUAUGGAUAGCAUGUUAGAAUUUUCCAUUUGGUAGUGGUUUAAAGAUGAAAUUUUCUAUUGUUAAUGAAUCAUCAUAUCUCUGUCAGGGUGGCAAUUAUGUUAAGGGUAGAUGUCGACAAAUCAAUGACCAAGUGAUGUCGCCUGGAAACUUUGCGCUAAAGAACAACUAUAACCAAGAUGUCUCUGCGAGACUCAUUCGUGGGCAUAUAUCAUAAGAUGGGAAACCUGGUAGAAGUUACACCAAUGACAGGUGAUUAAGUACUGGGCAGACAGAGGCGCUUCCAAAUUUACUAUUUUUAAGUUUUACCUUAAACAACUCCAAGGCCAGCCUCCAUUGACAACUAAACAGGUCUAGUAUUGUAAAGGACAUGUUCCUAACAGGAUUGCAGAAUUACAUGGGUUGGUGUGUCAAGUGGAGGACAAAAAGCCAUUCUCAUUCCAGCCACCAAUUUAAUUGAUCCUCCUCUUGAACCCAAGUCAAGUUCAAAAUUUUGCAAUCAUAUUUCCUCAUCAUAUACAUUAUCAAGUAAAGUUCUCUUUUUGUAUAAAAAGGUUUUCUGUACGACAAUUAAAGGACGGGGAGUAAGAAGUUAAGACUUUAUUUCCUCUGGCUCUCUUGUAUGGGAAUGAAUACACGCGUGUUUACAAAAUGUAAACAAUGUUGCUGAGUAAUUCGUAACAAGACAAUAUAUUGCAGGUUGACAAGAAUCUCUACUCAUAGUCUUUCAUCCCACAUACUCUCCAUGAGGAUGCUGAUCAUCUGGAUGUGCUUAUAACAUGCAGAUAUGGUGUAUGAUUCAUAUCUUGUCACCACCUCUCCUGUUUUGAAGACCGAAUACAUUGAAUUAAGUUGUUAAUCAGCAAAUGAAGACACAAAUGGUAAAGUGGUUCAAGUAAAAUGCUACUAAAUUGUACGGGGGUGUUUUUAAGUUUUCUAGUUAAGUGAAAGGAAUUGAAGUUGAGUACUGUUAGUGUUGAAGUUUUCAGACUUGAAAUAGGAGUGAUUUCCAUUGUAAUAAAGAUUAAUAUAAUGCUCAUUCAGGAAUAAGUUCAUUAUCAUCAUAAUUUUGAACUCAUUUAUAAUUAUAAAUUUUGAUA